rnacentral:rRNA from 1 species
UGAACGCUAGCUACAGGCUUAACACAUGCAAGUCGAGGGGCAGCAUGGUCUUAGCUUGCUAAGGCCGAUGGCGACCGGCGCACGGGUGAGUAACACGUAUCCAACCUGCCGUCUACUCUUGGACAGCCUUCUGAAAGGAAGAUUAAUACAAGAUGGCAUCAUGAGUCCGCAUGUUCACAUGAUUAAAGGUAUUCCGGUAGACGAUGGGGAUGCGUUCCAUUAGAUAGUAGGCGGGGUAACGGCCCACCUAGUCUUCGAUGGAUAGGGGUUCUGAGAGGAAGGUCCCCCACAUUGGAACUGAGACACGGUCCAAACUCCUACGGGAGGCAGCAGUGAGGAAUAUUGGUCAAUGGGCGAGAGCCUGAACCAGCCAAGUAGCGUGAAGGAUGACUGCCCUAUGGGUUGUAAACUUCUUUUAUAAAGGAAUAAAGUCGGGUAUGCAUACCCGUUUGCAUGUACUUUAUGAAUAAGGAUCGGCUAACUCCGUGCCAGCAGCCGCGGUAAUACGGAGGAUCCGAGCGUUAUCCGGAUUUAUUGGGUUUAAAGGGAGCGUAGAUGGAUGUUUAAGUCAGUUGUGAAAGUUUGCGGCUCAACCGUAAAAUUGCAGUUGAUACUGGAUAUCUUGAGUGCAGUUGAGGCAGGCGGAAUUCGUGGUGUAGCGGUGAAAUGCUUAGAUAUCACGAAGAACUCCGAUUGCGAAGGCAGCCUGCUAAGCUGCAACUGACAUUGAGGCUCGAAAGUGUGGGUAUCAAACAGGAUUAGAUACCCUGGUAGUCCACACGGUAAACGAUGAAUACUCGCUGUUUGCGAUAUACAGCAAGCGGCCAAGCGAAAGCGUUAAGUAUUCCACCUGGGGAGUACGCCGGCAACGGUGAAACUCAAAGGAAUUGACGGGGGCCCGCACAAGCGGAGGAACAUGUGGUUUAAUUCGAUGAUACGCGAGGAACCUUACCCGGGCUUAAAUUGCAGAUGAAUUACGGUGAAAGCCGUAAGCCGCAAGGCAUCUGUGAAGGUGCUGCAUGGUUGUCGUCAGCUCGUGCCGUGAGGUGUCGGCUUAAGUGCCAUAACGAGCGCAACCCUUGUUGUCAGUUACUAACAGGUUCCGCUGAGGACUCUGACAAGACUGCCAUCGUAAGAUGUGAGGAAGGUGGGGAUGACGUCAAAUCAGCACGGCCCUUACGUCCGGGGCUACACACGUGUUACAAUGGGGGGUACAGAGGGCCGCUACCACGCGAGUGGAUGCCAAUCCCAAAAACCUCUCUCAGUUCGGACUGGAGCCUGCAACCCGACUCCACGAAGCUGGAUUCGCUAGUAAUCGCGCAUCAGCCACGGCGCGGUGAAUACGUUCCCGGGCCUUGUACACACCGCCCGUCAAGCCAUGGGAGCCGGGGGUACCUGAAGUGCGUAACCGCGAGGAGCGCCCUAGGGUAAAACUGGU